GCUGACACGACAGUCCAAUCUCAUAUUAUUGUAAACAAUAAUGAUAAAAAUCAGAUUGGACCUUCGUUCCCAUAAUUUUAAGUGAUUACUAAUCCUUAUCACUGAUUAGAAUCACUUUUUAUAUAAAAUAUACAUGCGAUGGAGAUCAUUAGUAUACAAAAAGGUUUAUUUUAUUGUGUGCAACACUUAUCUGGUGUGGAAGAAUGGAAUUAUAAUAAGUGGCUGCACAACCAAAUUCGGUCGGAAUCGAUCGCGUCAGAUUGCUCAGGAUCCCAGCUUCCUCGUAAAAUACUUAAGAUAUACGGAACAUUACUAAGUUACAUUGUGCAGUUCUGUUUCCACUAGAUAGAGGAUAAAAAAACGACGAAAAGGUGAAACAGAGGAAACCUAUAAUAUAAACGGAUCAUCGAAUGGAUGUCACCACAGAAUUGCGUCGGUAGGUCAGUGGAAACAGGAACUGGACAGAUAAAGAAUCAUCAAAGAUAUUAACUAACAAGGGCUAGGAUGGCCCGUGCAACACAUAAAAAUUGUUCCGGUACAUGGUCCUUGCCUCCACCGAGGCAUUCAUGUCGUCAACCACGCAGUUUAAAAAGGGACGUCAAAUCAUCUACCAGAUCAAUCCACCUUGCUGUCGUUUGCCUUUUUGUGUCCGUAAGAUUACUAUCGGGAGCCAUGAUCGCUGGGCUCUGUCCGAAAUUCUGGUUACGGCGUAUCGCAAUCGUUCAAUUUUAACGGUAUCAACGAUGGAUGAAACCCUCAACACCUGAUGCACUGAUUCAUUUAUUCGCAUUCCCCAUGUGCAAUCUUCCUGGCCUAUUACACCGGCUAUUAACUGGCGGUUUGGUGAUCAUUUGAUUUUCGAAAGAGUGAUAUUCAGGAUCAGUAGAAAUAGAACACAUAACGUUGAAGCAA